rnacentral:piRNA from 1 species
UAUUAGAUGUGUGGCCUUGUUGGAGGAU